rnacentral:lncRNA from 1 species
GGCGAUGAAGUCGGCUAGGGCUUGGGCCUUCAAGGAAGGUCGUGGUUGGUACUGUAUGUCGAACUCGCUGAGCUUCAUCGCCCACUUCACCAGUCGUCCCGACGUAUUCGGUCGGCGCAAUAUCGCCCUAAGGGGCUAGUUGGUGAGAACCACAAUAGCAUGCGCCUAAAAGUAUGGACGGAGUCGUUGUGCGGAGAUGGUCAGGGCGAA